rnacentral:lncRNA from 1 species
GCAUGGAUAAUUAAUAAAUAUAAAUUUUGGAGAGUCAUAGCAAGUCAAUGUUCUUGAUGCACGACUUCCAGGCUGCGCUGGUGGCCGAUGGAUCAGUUUUGUUGAUUGGUUUGGUCUUGGAGUGUCUAUUCAUGUUGGUAGCAGUGGUCUCCACGAUUCUUCCUCUUUUUGGGUCCUGUUGUUCAUAUAGUGGUCUAGAUUCGUUCCACCUAGUGGAUGUGUCUGUUGAACGGGCCCUUUGGGCUGGUGCUGUGGAGGUUGCUCCGUUCGCAGUGUCCUUCUGGUGUUCCUUCAGUCGUUUGCUCAGGGACCGAG